rnacentral:rRNA from 1 species
GUGCCAGCAGCCGCGGUAAUUCCAGCUCCAAUAGCGUAUAUUAAAGUUGUUGCAGUUAAAAAGCUCGUAGUUGAAACUUGGGCCUGGCUGGCGGGUCCGCCUCACCGCGUGCACUCGUCCGGCCGGGCCUUCCUUCUGAAGAACCUCAUGCCCUUCACUGGGCGUGCUGGGGAAUCAGGACUUUUACUUUGAAAAAAUUAGAGUGUUCAAAGCAGGCCUUUGCUCGAAUACGUUAGCAUGGAAUAAUAAAAUAGGGCGUGCGUUUCUAUUUUGUUGGUUUCUAGAGACGCCGCAAUGAUUAACAGGAACAGUCGGGGGCAUCAGUAUUCAGUUGUCAGAGGUGAAAUUCUUGGAUUUACUGAAGACUAACUACUGCGAAAGCAUUUGCCAAGGAUGUUCUCAUUAAUCAGUGAACGAAGGUUAGGGGAUCGAAGACGAUCAGAUACCGUCGUAGUCUUAACCGUAAACUAUGCCGACUAGGGAUCGGGCGAUGUUCUUUUUCUGACUCGCUCGGCACCUUACGAGAAAUCAAAGUUUUUGGGUUCUGGGGGGAUUAUGGUCGCAAGGCUGAAACUUAAAGAAAUUGACGGAAGGUCACCACCAGGCGUGGAGCCUGCGGCUUAAUUUGACUCAACACGGGGAAACUCACCAGGUCCAGAUGAAAUAAGGAUUGACAGAUUGAGAGCUCUUUCUCGAUUUUUCAGGUGGUGGUGCAUGGCCGUUCUUAGUUCGUGGGGUGACUUGUCUGCUUAAUUGCGAUAACGAGCGAGACCUUACUCUGCUAAAUAGCCAGGCUAACUUUGGUUGGUCGCGGCUUCUUAGAGAGACUAUCACUCAGUUGAUGAGUUUGAGCAAUAACAGUCUGUGAUGCCUUAGAUGUUCUGGUCGCACGCGCGCUUACACUUGACAGAAGCCAACGGAGUCAUGC